rnacentral:lncRNA from 1 species
GCCCAGCGCAGCCCCGGCCGCUGGGCGCACCCGUCCCGUUCGUCCCCGGACGUUGCUCUCUACCCCGGGAACGUCGAGACUGGAGCGCCCGAACUGAGCCACCUUCGCGGACCCCGAGAGCGGCGGCGCGACUCACCGCGGAGGCGCCCGGACGCGUCAAGUGCGUACUUUCAACCGUAAAUGGGUGCUGAGCGUUUAGGGGUGCGGGGCAACUCCCUAACUCGUGGGGCCCUGGCCGGCCCUGCCGCGGCGUCCGAGACCUUCUGAUCCCUCGCUGCGCGCGGCGCGGGGUUGGCGACUUGGGCUCAGGGGCGGCGGGGCGGGGAGGUGCCUUGACCUAGGGACCCAGAGGCCGGGAGCAAGUCUCCUUUCGCCUUGGACCGCAGUGUCCCCCAGGGCAAGGCCUGAACCAGGUCGCGAGGGUCUGUCUCCCGUCUGGGGAGCUGAACUGCCCGGGACACUGUCGCAGUCGCGGGGACUUGUCUGGAGCGGCGGGGUCUGAGCCCAAGUCCGAAGCCGCCGCCGCCAGCGUCCCGUGCGCCUGCCGCCCCGGGACCAGCCGCGAAACUUCUUCUCGGGACGGAGACAGCGCUCGCCGCCCGGGCCGAGGUAGGAGCUGGCUGGGCUCGAUAGAGCGCGGGCGAAUCGCUUUCGGCAGCGAAGGAACGUGUCGGGAGAAGCCAACCGCAGGACCAGGGCCCCAGCGGGCGCGCAGAGACGCCUGCCUUGGGCGGAGGUCCCCCCCUCCGGUUUUCGUGGCUCUUGUAGGGCCCUCUGUCCCGUGAGCUCCCCACUGGACCUGUGGCUCCAGGCUUCAGCAGGUCAAGCGCCCAAGUGUGCCUGGAGGAUUGGCGGCCGGGUGGCAUGAGAAGGUGGCCCCUCUUCUCCAUCUCCCAGUCAGGCGAUUUCUCUGCUGUCUGGGGCAGGGGCGCACACCCCGGGAACUUACUACCUAGAGGGAAGCCAGCCUGGUCUCUCCCCCUUGCGUCAGUGCUCCUAAGCUGCCCCUCGCCACUCUGGGUAGGGGUCUUUCAGGUGGGCUAGCGAAUUCUCCUUGGAAGCCCCCUUGUCUGCUUUCCUCCAUCAGGGCACCUCUGAGUUAGCCAAUCGUCCCCUUUUCUGGCCUCUUUUUUGCGGGGAGGAGAGUAAAGAGAGAAGCCUCCUACUCGGCAGGUCUCUGAGAGGAGGUGUGGGGGGACUUCUGAGGUUGCUCCUCCUGGGCAGAGUCAAGGGGUGUUGACGGUUCCAACUUUUACUGGACAAUCUCUCAAGCUCUGAUUCCCUGAUUUUUGGGAGGUGUCAGUGUAGGGCUUGUGUCCUGCCGCCACCCACACAGCAUUUGGUGAAGGCACAUGGGAUGGUUCCCCAAGCCCUUUUCCCAGUUUCAGAAAAUGCAUAAGCCACCUAAGGCUGGGAGAAGCCUUUCUGUGCUGCCUGAGAUCUGGUGGCAUGUGCACGCGUGUGUGUGCAAGUGUGUUGUGUGUGUGCAAGUGUGUGCACGCAUGUGCAUGUGUGUGGAAAGUAUGGUCUGGGUGGCUGUAAGACUGGCCCCUCUUGUCCCCUCUGCAGACCCAGCCCAAUAGGAAGCACCUGAUCCACACUCUUUCUAGCCCCAGAGAUGCUCAGGAAAGCAGCUCUUCUUUAGGGCUGUCAUCUGUUCUGGGGAUCUGUUGCUGUUCCUUGGGCCCACAGAAUACACUCCAUACCUCGGGACUCCAUAAUAUUGGACAAGGCUGGAAGGCCCAUUUGGAUCCUGCAGCCUCUUGUGCAGGUGAGGACAGACCCAAGGUCCAGGCAAUGCUGGCCUUUGGAACACAGAACCUGGCUCAGUGACUGCCACUCCAGUUGUCUUUUCCCUCUGCCUCCGGAGCAACUCUCUCUCCUCCGGAGCAACCCCUGUCUCUCCUUCCUACUUCUCUCUAGGGCUGCACCCCCAGCUCACCUUAGACCUGGCCCUUCCUACCUGUUGCCCCUACUGUCUUGUCCCAUCCCAGUGGUCAGGAGGGAGAGUACUGGCCAAAGGCCCAGCUCCACCUGUGACUUAGGGGAGCCGCAGGCAUCACCCAGAGGUCCCGGCCCUCGGGGGCCUGGCAGGCUCUGCUGUGGGGGAAGCAGAGUUAGAACUGGGGCUGCUUCUCCUGCCCCCCCAGCCUGGCUGGGCCUCCCCCACCUCCCUUUCUGCCUGCCCUCUUACAACUCCAGCAGGGGGCGGGCAGGGAAAAGAAAAGGAGGGACAAGUUGGAUGGGGUCCAUUUGGUGUCCAGGAACAACUUGGAGAGAGGCGGGGAGGGGACAGGCAGCAGGGCCCUGGCAGAGCCAGGGGAGGGCUGGCCUUUGGAUGGCCUUCUGAUCCCAAGCCCAUCCUCCUGGGGCAGUCUUCCCUUGAAAGGGAGGGUUUGGUGAACCCUGGUGCGGACCCCCCCCAACCUCACUGCCCCAGUGCAGGGCGUGGUAGGCAGGUUUGCAAUGGGUACAGCCUCUUUCUCCAUUCCAGUACAGCAGCUCCCAAGGCCCAGAGAGGCUGUCACUGAGACUUCCCUCUGGGAUGGGGUGGGGUGGGUUCUGGUGGCCCUGUGUUCCCCUGUAGGAGGACCUCCUGAGGCUUCACGCAGGAGCUGGUGCACACCUGGAGGAGAGUGCUGGUGAACGGCAGGUGUGUGCCUCAGUGUCCUUGCUGCCUGGGUGUCAGCCCUGCUUCACCACUGGCCCUUUGUCUCUGUCCCCUCCACUGGCCUCUUGAAGCACAGAGACCCUCCAGGUACUUUCCUUCCUCUGGGCUUCCACUCAUGCUAUUCCCUGCUCCCUUCUUCUACCUGGAGACCCCCAUUCCUCCUCCUCCUCCACUGCUGCCCUCACCUCCACCUGGGCCCUCCCAGCUCCCGGGAGAUGGCCGAACCCCACUGCCUGCCAGCUAGUCAUCCUCUUCAGCGGUCCUCCCAGAGCUGUCCUUGGCAUGGCAGCCUCCACAGCCCCAGGUGUCACCCCCGGUUUCAUGUCUGCCUCGUACUCCAGACCUGUCCCUCCCAGGCUGGCCCAGAUGGAUCCUCUGCAGUGACUAACCCGAACCAGCACUGGGCAGGGACCCAAUAAACCUUUGUGAAUGGA